rnacentral:rRNA from 1 species
AGCGGCGGAUGGGUGAGUAACACGUGGGGAACCUGCCCCUAAGUCUGGGAUACCAUUUGGAAACAGGUGCUAAUACCGGAUAAUAAAGCAGAUCGCAUGAUCAGCUUUUGAAAGGCGGCGUAAGCUGUCGCUAAGGGAUGGCCCCGCGGUGCAUUAGCUAGUUGGUAAGGUAACGGCUUACCAAGGCGACGAUGCAUAGCCGAGUUGAGAGACUGAUCGGCCACAUUGGGACUGAGACACGGCCCAAACUCCUACGGGAGGCAGCAGUAGGGAAUCUUCCACAAUGGACGCAAGUCUGAUGGAGCAACGCCGCGUGAGUGAAGAAGGUUUUCGGAUCGUAAAGCUCUGUUGUUGGUGAAGAAGGAUAGAGGUAGUAACUGGCCUUUAUUUGACGGUAAUCAACCAGAAAGUCACGGCUAACUACGUGCCAGCAGCCGCGGUAAUACGUAGGUGGCAAGCGAUGUCCGGAUUUAUUGGGCGUAAAGCGAGCGCAGGCGGAAAAAUAAGUCUAAUGUGAAAGCCCUCGGCUUAACCGAGGAACUGCAUCGGAAACUGUUUUUCUUGAGUGCAGAAGAGGAGAGUGGAAACUCCAUGUGUAGCGGUGGGAAUGCGUAGAUAUAUGGAAAAAACACCCAGUGGGCGAAGGCGGCUCUCUGGGUCUGCAACUGACGCUGAGGCUCCGAAGGCAUGGGUAGCGAACAGGAUUUAGAUACCCCGGUAGUUCAUGCCGUAACGAUGAGUGCUAAGUGGU